rnacentral:rRNA from 1 species
UACAGAGGUCCCAAGCGUUGUUCGGAUUCACUGGGCGUAAAGGGUGCGUAGGCGGUCGUGUAAGUCUGAUGUGAAAUCUCACAGCUUAACUGUGAAACUGCAUUGGAUACUAUUCGGCUUGAGAGUCGGAGGGGGGACUGGAAUUCUUGGUGUAGCAGUGAAAUGCGUAGAUAUCAAGAGGAACACCAGUGGCGAAGGCGAGUCCCUGGACAACUUCUGACGCUGAGGCACGAAAGCUAGGGGAGCAAACAGG